CCUACGGGAGGCAGCAGUGGGGAAUCUUGCGCAAUGGGCGAAAGCCUGACGCAGCCAUGCCGCGUGAAUGAUGAAGGUCUUAGGAUUGUAAAAAUUCUUUCACCGGGGGACGAUAAUGACGGUACCCGGAGAAGAAGCCCCGGCUAACUUCGUGCCAGCAGCCGCGGUAAUACGAAGGGGGCUAGCGUUGCUCGGAAUUACUGGGCGUAAAGGGAGCGUAGGCGGAUAGUUUAGUCAGAGGUGAAAGCCCAGGGCUCAACCUUGGAAUUGCCUUUGAUACUGGCUAUCUUGAGUAUGGGAGAGGUUAGCGGAACUCCGAGUGUAGAGGUGAAAUUCGUAGAUAUUCGGAAGAACACCAGUGGCGAAGGCGGCUAACUGGCCCAUUACUGACGCUGAGGCUCGAAAGCGUGGGGAGCAAACAGGAUUAGAUACCCUGGUAGUCCACGCCGUAAACGAUGAGUGCUAGUUGUCGGCAUGCAUGCAUGUCGGUGACGCGAGCUACGACAUUAAGUACACUCCGCCGUCGGGGAGGUACGGUCGCGAAGAAUUAAAACUUAAAACGGUAAAGUUAGACGGCGUGAGACGUGCCGAACGGACGACGACGAGGGAGGUAGG
rnacentral:rRNA from 1 species